rnacentral:sRNA from 1 species
AGUGGCGCCAUCUCAGCUCAUUGCAACCUCUGCCUCUUGGGCUCAGGUGAUCCUUCUGCCUCAGCCUCCUGAGUAGCUGGGACUACAGUCAAGUCCUAAUUCGAAGCAGAGUCCUCAGGGAAAAUGGAAAAUACAUUCCCAAACAGUCUUUCUUGACACGAAAAUAUUAUUUCAACAACCCAGAGGAUGGAUUUUUCAAAAAAACUAAACGGAAGGUAGUGCCACCUUCUCCUAUGACUGAUCCUACUAUGUUGACAGACAUGAUGAAAGGGAAUGUAACAAAUGUCCUCCCUAUGAUUCUUAUUGGUGGAUGGAUCAACAUGACAUUCUCAGGCUUUGUCACAACCAAGGUCCCAUUUCCACUGACGCUCCGUUUUAAGCCUAUGUUACAGCAAGGAAUCGAGCUACUCACAUUAGAUGCAUCCUGGGUGAGUUCUGCAUCCUGGUACUUCCUCAAUGUAUUUGGGCUUCGGAGCAUUUACUCUCUGAUUCUGGGCCAAGAUAAUGCCGCUGACCAAUCACGAAUGAUGCAGGAGCAGAUGACGGGAGCAGCCAUGGCCAUGCCCGCAGACACAAACAA